rnacentral:misc_RNA from 1 species
UUUUUUUUUUCUUUUUAUUCUUCUAACUGUAUGUAAAUAUGAAACCAAAACAUCAAAGAUCUUAUUAAUCAAACAAUUACUACUUCCUAAAACGAAUAGAAUCAACCUAAAACAAUUAAUAACAAACUAGAGGAGAGAAAUUAAUUGACAAGUUCAUGCAUAUUUUGUAUAAAUUUAUCAACAUAACUAGUCAUCAACCCCUUGUUCAGCAUCUCCCUCCACUUUCUGUGGUUCUCCUUCAGCAUUGAACCCAUUUCACCGCCUUUAUCCAUUACAGACUUUAUGGAUUUGCUUAAGUCCUCCUUGGAAAACCACGCUUUCUCAUCUCUCACCACCUCCACAGCUACCUUCAACUCUUCAGCCAUGAACCUGGUGUUCAAGAUUUGGUCACCCAAAUGUGGAAUCAAUACUGCUCGACAAUCACUCAUCAAAGAUUCCCACAUUGAUCCAAACCCACAAUGGCUCACAAAACAUCCUACUGAUGGGUGCUCUAGGAUCAUUAACUGUUGUACCCAUCCCCCCCAUACCACUCCUCUACCUUUAACCCUCUCUUCGAACCCUUUGGGCAGUGCUUCUUCCACUGUUGCGGCACCCAUUGGUGGCUUUAAGGCCACUAAAAAUGGAAAACCUGUUAAUUCAAGCCCUAAAACCAGUUCUUGAAAUUGAUUUUUCUCAAGAACAAUUUGACUUCCAAAUGCGCAGAACACCACUGAACCUGGUUGAAACCCACUUAGCCAUUUAACCCACCGAUCUUCUAGGGGUGUUUUAGGCGGCUCUGGCAACAUAGGACCGGUUAGAAAUACAGGCUUCCCAUAUUGACUCCCAAUAUAUUCACAAAAUUUUCCUUCGGUUUCAUUGCAAGUUCUGAUAGCUAAGGCAUCACUUUCUUUCAUUGCUUUGUAGAUUCUCUCGUAAAACGUUAUCCCCUCACCGAAAGGCUGCGAUAUAAAUAACAAUGAGCGCACUUCAUGGCCGCGAAGAACGACAGUCGACGAUGGAUAGCCGGUAGGUGGCACUAAAAGUUCAGCCUCGGUGAUGGGCUUAUCUUUAGGCACAUUACGUGCCGGGACAAGUACUAUUGCAAUGGAUGCAGCCGAAACAACGGAAUAGUUUAUGGCCUUAAUGCCAAAGGCUUUGGUUAUCUCUGGCACCCAAUGGGCUACAUCAUAAAUAAUCAACUUAGGUUUGGUGUCACGUAUUACCCUUUCGACUUGAUCACGGGUACGAUCCAUGGCUGCGGCUAGCAGAGAGGUGAAUUGAAUGUGGAUGUCAGAGGCGGUCCGGGUGCCUUCAGGGAGACCCUCGACGUGAGGGACCGCGAGAGGGUGGAAGGUGAUGAGAUGAGGAUAAAGAUUCAAGUGUUGUAACUGUUGUAUAGCUUUGAUGGGAAGCAAGAAGGUGGAGGAGUAACCUCUCUCUGCAAGCCUAUUUGAAAGGUGGAGGAAUGGGGUCAUGUGACCAAAAGCAAACCACGGGAACAUUAGUAGAUGAAAAUUGGAGUUCUUGGGGUGACUCAUUUUUCUUACAAUGGGGGAGGAGAGAUUCUUGUUGGAUUUAGAUCUAGUUCAUGGUGAUUGUAAUUUGC